rnacentral:rRNA from 1 species
GACGAACGCUGGCGGCGUGCUUAACACAUGCAAGUCGAACGGAAAGGCCCUGCUUUUGUGGGGUGCUCGAGUGGCGAACGGGUGAGUAACACGUGAGUAACCUGCCCUUGACUUUGGGAUAACUUCAGGAAACUGGGGCUAAUACCGGAUAGGAGCUCCUGCUGCAUGGUGGGGGUUGGAAAGUUUCGGCGGUUGGGGAUGGACUCGCGGCUUAUCAGCUUGUUGGUGGGGUAGUGGCUUACCAAGGCUUUGACGGGUAGCCGGCCUGAGAGGGUGACCGGCCACAUUGGGACUGAGAUACGGCCCAGAAUCCUACGGGAGGCAGCAGUGGGGAAUAUUGCGCAGUGGCGGGGAGCCUGAUGCGACAACGCCGCGUGCGGGAUAACGGCCUUCGAGUUGUAAACAACUUUCGCCUGUGACGAAGCGUUAGUGACGGUAAUGGGUAAAGAAGCACCGGCUAACUACGUG